rnacentral:rRNA from 1 species
UACAGAGGGUGCAAGCGUUGUUCGGAAUUACUGGGCGUAAAGCGCGUGUAGGCUGCGGAGUAAGUCGGAUGUGAAAUCCCUUGGCUUAACCAAGGAAGUGCAUCCGAUACUGUUUCGCUUGAGUGUCGGAGGGGGUGGCGGAAUUCCCGGUGUAGAGGUGAAAUUCGUAGAUAUCGGGAGGAACACCUGUGGCGAAGGCGGCCACCUGGACGACAACUGACGCUGAGACGCGAAAAGCGUGGGUAGCAAACAGG